ACUCCUACGGGAGGCAGCAGUGAGGGAUAUUCGGCAAUGGGGGAAACCCUGACCGAGCAAUGCCGCGUGAGGGAUGACGGUUUUCGGAUUGUAAACCUCUGUCCUCUGUGAAGAUAAUGACGGUAGCAGAGGAGGAAGCUCCGGCUAACUACGUGCCAGCAGCCGCGGUAAU
rnacentral:rRNA from 1 species